rnacentral:lncRNA from 1 species
AGGACAAAAAUUAAUGAGUUCUGUGAGCCAAGUAGACAUUGAGGAGGCUGUUAAUGGUCUUGAAAUUUUCACCCAAGAGGGUGCUUGCUCUGGGGAAGGAGUGCAGUAGAAAGAACCAUCUGAGGAUAGGUACUGAGGGAGCAUUUGUAGCCUAUAAAGCAUUAUUGGUGCCAGGGAAUGGUACAGUUGGAAGUACUUGUGGAAGUGAGCAGGUGUCUCUAAAGGAUGAAAAUAAUUUUUUCACCCCAUGAAAGAGAAUUGGAAUUUGAUUGUCUGCCAUGACAGUGGGUAAUUGACAUAGGAUUAUUUACAUAGGUUACUAUCCCCUAAGUAAACAAGGCCUUUUCUUUUCCUCUCUCCUGCUAGUCAGCUCCAAUUGCCUAGUCAGAGCCAGAUGAAGGAGGUAAACCAAGAAGAUAAAAGAGCAAAGCAGUCUCCUUCCUCUGGUUCUCCAGCCCUGGAGGUCUUUAAUCCUUGAAUCAGUUCUGAAAUGGGAGAGAGGAUAAACUGUUUUUAAAGCUGAAAGUGUUCCCCACUCAAGAUGUGAAGGGGAGGUGAAGAGAAGGCUGACAGAGCCAGUUUGAAGGAGGUGGCAUUAAAAAAAAGAUAUAUACUGAUGUACCCUACCAGAUAUAUCAUUAAAUAAAACAUUAUCCGUGUAUCUAUAUAUCUAUCUUAGCAUUACAUAAUGGUUUUUUAUUUUUAUCUUAAUUUCAUAAUAUUUAUAAAAUGAGUGUGUAUUGUAUUAAAUAUUUAUAAAAGAUUUUUUAACAGAAAAUUUGAAAAAUAAGAAAGUUUUAGAAGAAAAUAAAAAUUACCCACAAUUUACCCAUCUACAUACAACUACUGGUGAUAUUUUAGUAUUUAGUAUUUUUAAUUGUAUUUAUAUUCAUACAGUUAUUUUUCAAACACAAUUGAAAUAACAUUAUUUAUAUAAUUUUGUGUCCUGUUUGUUUAAUGUAGUACUCUUCUGUGGUUUUAAAUUUCUUGGAACAGAGAAGAGAAAUUGUGGUAGAAACAGAGUGCAUUUAACUUAUCAGUAGUGCUGGACAGUAAAUUAGUUCCAACUUGUGAUAUGGAUAGCCCUGUGUAAUAAAUCUUUAUAUGUUUUGAACGCUUCUCCAAUGAUAUCCUUUGUCUAAUCUUUUACUAUUUCCUUCCUUUCUUAAACACUUACUAUGAGCCAUUUACUAUGUAAGAAUCUAGAUUAUAACUGUUAAGAAGAGGUGACCCCGGCUCUCAGAAUCUUACAGUGUAAUGGGGAGAGAGAUUCAUGAAAGAGAAUGUUAGUAUUUUUUAUGUAUGAUGAUAGUGAUAUGAAUGGGGUUUUAUGGGAAAACAGAGAAAAUUUUCCUAAUCCUGCGUGGAUGGGCACAUGGGGAGAGGUAGGCAGGUGGCAAGGCAAAGGAAGUGUGUGGGAUAGGGAUAGAAGAAGGAGAGUGUGAGCACAGCCAGGGGAGUAAAGAACAACAUUGUCUGGGGAUUGGGAGCGGGGAAGAAGAAGAUUAUAAAAGCCUCAUAGUUAAAUGAUAGCUAUAAUAGACCUAUUUUAUGGGGUGCGAUGAGGUUUCAAUGAGAUCAUAUAAAUUGCCCAGCAAGGUGCCUGGAACUUAGUAAGCACUCACAUUUAGCUAAUACUUUCAUUAUUAUUCACCUUUUGAUUGUUACUUCCUACCCUAUAUUUAUAUAUUAAUAGAAUCGGGUCUCGUUCACUCUUGGACCAUUUCUUGUAUGGCUGUGUGGAAACCCCCAUCAUCACAAUGAAGUCAACACCUUAAUAGUUAUCCUGUGUGCCAGGAACUGUUCUAAGUGCUUUAUAUGCACCAAGAGUUUAAUUGGCCAGGUCUCUAGUUCUAGAGGCCAUGCUCCAACCAAGACAUUAUAGUUGCUUGCCACUCAUUCUUGCUGUGUAUUUUCAAUCCUGGAGAUAAAACUGUCCAGUUUUCUCCUUCCAGAGAAGGCUGAUUCAAACUGAAACAGGUCCAUGAUCUGCCUUUUUAGUAAUAACCUACAUGAAUAAAUUGAGACAUUGCUAAGUCAAUGUUUGUAACUUGGUUUCUUACUCAGAUCCUGUGGAUUUUAAAGUCUGGGAUCUUAUCCAUUGCAUAUCUCUGAUUUUGUAAGAUUUCCUGGAUAUUUUAGUGUCCCUCAUUUAGUGCUUUUAUUGCUUCUGUUAACUCCCUAAUGGUGAUCAGCAAUAAAAAACUUUAAACUGUAUUUUUUAUGGGGAGCCAUAUAGUGGGAAUCUAGGCAGACAGUCCAUACUUUGCAGAUGGACUUGAGAAGAUAGCCUCAGAAUUAAUGUAGAUAAAGCAAAUGUGGUGGGCAAAAUAAUGCCCCUCCAAAAAGACAUUAGGUGUUGCUAUGAUGCUAGUUUUGAAGAUGAGGAAGGGGUCAUGAACCAGGAAAUCCUGGAAGAGGGAAGGAAACAGAUUGUUCCCUAGAGCCCAAGAAGUAGCACGGCCUUGCUGAUACCUUUUAUUACUUCCUACACUCAGACCCAUUUUGGAUAUGUAACCUCCAGAACUAUAGCAGAAUAAAUUUCUGUUGUAUUAAGUCACUCAUAGCAAUAGGAACCUAGUAUAGGAAGUGAGAAGAGGAUAGAACAGCAGCAUUCUGGACCCAAGGCUGAUGGCAGUCUAGGGAUGGAAAGUAAAUCAGUGCCUUGUUCAGUGGGAAGGUUCUGUGCAUUCCAGUCCCUCCCAGUCCCUUUAUCAAUAGUUUGCAUUAGUACUGAGUGUGUCAAAAGGCCAGAUGGGCCCAGAGAGCUCUGAACUUGCCAGAAACACUGGUGAGAAAGCUUUGCUUAUUGCAAUAGAACAUAAAGGGUAAAGAAGGUAGAUAAAAAUAUUUUUGUACAGAAAAAAGUUUUUUUCAGGAAAAUUGUUUAUACUAUUAAACAAGGCAGAAUUGGAAAAAAAUGUGUUUGUAGAGCCAAAGAGAGGAAUGCUAUAUAGUUACAUGCACAAACUGGAGAACAUGUUGCAUUUUCCACCUCCAACUUGUAGCUAUGUCUUUCUCAGUAUUUUAAGUAUUUUGUAAUAGAAUGACUAUAAUCUAUGAAAUUAGAACUUUGGAAAUUUAAUUUUUUUAAAGUUUUAAAAUUGUGAUUAUUUUUGUCUGUGCCCAUGGCGUGUGGACAUUCUGGGGCCAAGGAUCGAACCCACACAUAGCAGCAACAAUGCCAGAUCCUUAACUUGCUGAGCCACCAAGGAACUUCCUAAUUUUAUUAUUACUAUGAUGAUGAUGAUGAUGAUGAUGAUGAUGAUGAUGAUGAUUUUCUUUUUAGGGCUGUGCCCGUGGCAUAUGGAAGUUCCCAGGCUAGGGGUUGAAUCAGAGCUAUAGCUCCCGGCCUAUGAUACAGCCACAACAAUGUGGGAUCUGAGCCACAUCUGCAGUCUACACCACAGCUCAGGGCAACGCUGUAUCCCUGACUCACUGAGCGAGGCCAGGGAUCAAACAGCAUCCUCAUGGAUACUAGUCGGAUUCAUUUCUGCUGAGUCAUGACAGGAACUCCCCUAAUUUUAUUGUUUUAAACAAUUCAUAAGAAGAGGUGUAGGAGAAAAUGUCCAGAUAAAAAUGUAGAAAGGAGAGACCCCAGCCAUGAUGACUAAGAAAAUUCUAGCCAACUGCCCCAACCACCCCUGCCCCACACAUCUGCUUCUGUAAACUUGUUUCUGCAUCUACCACCUUGCCUGACGUCACUCUGGUCCAACUAGCCAAGCAUGGACCCGGAAGUGGUAGCCCAUAAAAGCCUUGUGAAACCUUUCUUCAGGGUUCAGACUCCGGAGAGCGAUCUCCUCUGAGCCUGCCAGCGUAAUAAACCUGAGUUCUCCAACUCUUCGAGUGCUCCUUGGUUUCUCGCUAGGUAAAAGAGCUCAUAUGCUGCAGCCACAGGGCUGCUGGAACUGCUACACUAAAGCCAAAGGGCUGUCGCUAGAGCUGGUACACUACAGCCACAGGGCUGUUGCCAGAGCUGAUACGCUGUGGUGCAGGGCUGCUGGGCAGCUGCCCUGGUAACAGAAGUACAUCAGAUAGUCUUUUUUUUUUUUCCAGUUUUAAAAAUUACAGUUGAUUUACAAUGUGCCAAUUUCUGCCAUACAGCAAAGUGACCCAGUCAUGCAAAUAUAUAUAUUCUUUUUCUCAUAUCUUCCCCCAUUAUGUUUUAUCCCAAGAGAAUGGACACUUCCCUGUGCUGUAGGACCUCAAUAUAUAUCCAUUCUAAAUGUAGUAUUUGCAUCUACUAACAGAUGGUCAGUCUUAUUAAUGAAAAACUUGAAUCCCUACUCUAAUUCUCACUGUUUAUUUUAGGAAAAAAAUGAUUUAUACGACUAAAAAUAAAUUCCAAAGAUAUUCUGAGAUUUAGGAGAGAUUUAUUGGAAUGAUGACAGAGAUAUGGGACACCAAUAUUCAACUCAGAAUAUUUAAACAUAAACUCCAGUAGUAAUCAUGUAUCUAGAUUAGCAUCUCAAAGAUAGUUUAAAUAAUCACAUAUUAUUUAUAUAUUAGUAAAAUAUAUAAAUACAAAAUAUUUAUAUAAUUAUAAUAUAUGGUAUAUAUCAUAUAUUUGUGAAAGAUUUUCUAAUUUAAAUGCUUUAUUUGCUGACGAGACCAGCUCAGCAGGUGAGGGCUGAAGAACAGGUGCUAUGACCCUUAAGAAAAAAGUUAACAUAAAACAAGAAACAGAGACAUUUAUCUUAAUUAAAGGUGGGAACCAGGGUCUCAAGUUCUCAGGGACCAAGAGCCCCACCUCAAGAUACCACACUGCUUUUAUUGUGCUCUUUAGGAUUAGGUCAAGUGAGGAGGAGGUUGCAGGUACAGGAUAGAGUUCUUUUUAUUAUUUAAAAAGUUCUUCUAUUAUUUUAAAAGUCACAUAGCUGGUAGAUGGUUAAGCUUUUAUUCUGACCUUUAGGCAUUUAAUAACCAUUAGCACUGAGGAAGCUUGGCGUUAACUACCUAUGCAUAGCAUCUAGAGAAUCAUCAUUGUGCUUGGGCAAAGGGCAUGCCUAUCUGCAGCAACCCUGUGUGCCUAGGUUUGCACCUCGGUUCUCUUUGCUGAUGCAUAUUCUCCUAACUACCCCUCAUAAACCCCUUGGGGCCAUGAGGCUCAUCUUCCUCUUAUUCUUAAGAGGACAUAUCAUGCUGUGCAAAUGGCAUGCCUAUCUGCACAGGUCCAGCAUGCCUAGACCAAUGCAUUAUGUCCUCACCCAGCUGACCAUAUGAAUAACUUAUGCCUUUAGGUCUUUGUUCUUAAGCCUAAAUCAUUUACUGGCACUGUGACUGUUUUCCAAGCAGGAAUAUGGGGUAAAGGUAAAGCAGGACAAGAUGGAGUUUUCAGCAUAGAAAAUAGAAGCAGGAGUUCCCGUCGUGGUGCAGUGAUUGACGAAUCCGACUAGGAACCAUAAGGUUGCGGGUUGGAUCCCUGGCCUUGAUCGUCAGGUUAAGGAUCCGGCGUUGCCAUGAGCUGUGGUGUAGGUUGCAGACGUGGCUUGGAUCCUGCGUUGCUGUGGCUCUGGCGUGGGCCAGCGGCUACAGCUCCGAUUAGACCCCUAGCCUGGGAACCUCCAUAUGCUGUGAGAGCGGCCCAAGAAAUAGC